CUGUGGUGGUAAGUUUAGGGAAAGGAGGAAUUUUCUAUGAUUGAUUUCGAGGCCUAAGCCUAAUUUUAGCAUUAAAUCUCUUCCUUAUAGAUUUGUCCCUGCUUCCAGAAUUAGCAGAAAGUUAAUAUUAGCUGAUUUGCUUUUACAUAUGACUUUAUUCUUUUUCCCACUUGGGACAUUCUUUUUUGAAGUGACCUAUUUUUAAUUUGAAGCAUUUGUUUUGUCCUCUUUCCCUUUUCCUCUCCCUAUCUCUCUCUCUCUCUCUCUGAAUUCCUCUGUCUCUUUCCCUCUCUCUCUGACUUCCUCUGUCUCUUUCCCUCUCUCUCUCUCUGACUUCCUCUGUCCCCUCUGUCAGUCUUUCUCUCGCCUCUAAGAUUUUUUUCUCUACCUUUGAGUCUCCUGGCUUUACUCUUUUGUACCCUUUAUGUUGCCUGGAGAGUGGGGGUCUAGGUUCUUUAUAGGUUCUUGCCCCCUGGGUACUUUGUUGUAUGGUGGACAGCAGAAUUUUUGCCCUCUGCUUUUGUUUUUCUUCAUCUCUUCCUACAUAUACUUUUUGGGCUUCUCUUAGAAGCUCUUCUAUAGGUUUAUCUUUCUAGUUCCCUAUCUUUUGUAAUUUCUUGUUAAUAUCUGGCCAACUGUUAGUGACAAAAUGAAGUUUUAACAUUCCCUGUCCAAGGGGAUCCUCGAGACCUGGACCAGUAUAUUUUCUCAUUUAUUCCUUUAAUCUGUCUAAAAAUUCUAUAGGCCCUUAAUCUUUCCCUUGCUGUAUAUCAAAUGUUUGGGUAAGAUUCUGGGUUCGGGGUACUGAUUCUUUAAUCCCCUUUAUUAUCAAUUCCUUAAGGUCUUGCAUAUUUUCUUGGUUGGCUGCAUUGUUAUUGUCCCACCAGGGGUCUUGGGUGGGAAAUUUUUGAUCCGCUGUAGGAACGUUUUGGCCGGAAGCCGGGGGCGGGGUGUUCAUGGUUCCUAGGCUCCCAUUGCAGCCCUAUGGAUCAUGCCUCUUUCUUCCCCUGAGAAGAGGGGAAAGGGAAGUUCUGAAUAUCCUUUUUACAUUGCUCUAUCUCGUGUGAAGUCCUUUUAGGGAAGGGUACUCAGGCUGGUCGUGAGUGGGCUCUUGGGAACAUUCCCAAGAGGCAGAAUUAUAAGGAGAGGGACAACAGGGAUAGGAGAAGGGUCUGGGACAGCAGCUGCUUUUUCUUGUUUUUGGUCCUUUCAUUACCCUUCUAAUAUUUUAUCAUUAGGCUGAGCGGAUUAUUAGGGGGAAUAUUAUCAUUGCUAGUGUAUCCUUUUUAUCCCUUACCUUACUUGGGGUAUUUCCCAUUUUUAGUGUGAGGCUCAAUUCCCCUUGCUAGAAAUGUCUUGCCUAUUUUUAACCCUCAAGAUACCCCAACCAGGGAAUACUUCACCGCCCCACCUCCUCCGUGUCUUUUCUUACCUUGAUAUGUCCUGAUCAAGGAAUACCACCACCCCCUGUGGCUUCUCUUACCUUGGUCUGUCCCAACCACCAAGGAAAUACUUUGCUGGCUCCCAGGCGUUUCCUUCCUCGGUCUGUGCACAGAGUUGCCUGGUCACUGUGGUGUGUGAGGAUCCUUUCCCCUGGGUCGCCGGCUGGUUUCUUUCGACAUUGCUGAGUCCAGGUUUAUUUGUCACACCAGUUCUGGAGCAAAAGUUCAUGAUGUGGGUCUCCACACACUGUUCUGUCUGUCCAAGUGGGAGCUGCAAUCUGGUCCUGCCUGCCGUCUGCCAUGAUGUUCUUGAAAACCAACAAGUGCUUCUUAAAUGCUGACGUAUCAUUUUCCCAUGUCUGAGCCAACUCAGCAUGAACACAAUGAGGAUGAAGGCAUUUAUGAUGACCCCACUUCCUCUUAAUAAACAGUAAAUAUAUAUUAUCUUCCUUGUGAUUUUCUUAAUAACAUUUUCUUUUCUCUAGCUUAUGUUAUUGUAAGAAUUCACUAUAUAAUACAUAUAAUGCACAAAAAAAUGGGUAGAUAACCUGAGGUUUAUUCAAACAGUGGACUACUUUAUAGUAUUUGAAAUAAUUUAAGUAGAGUUACAUGAACCAAUAAGGAUAAACUUAAAACACACUAAAUACUGAAAAAAGAAGCAGGUUGCAAAAUGAUAUGGUAUGAUACUAUUUAUUUUAAAUUUUUAAGAACA
rnacentral:lncRNA from 10 species